CAGGUCUUGACAUCCUCUGACAACCCUAGAGAUAGGGCUUCCCCCUCGGGGGCAGAGUGACAGGUGGUGCAUGGUUGUCGUCAGCUCGUGUCGUGAGAUGUUGGGUUAAGUCCCGCAACGAGCGCAACCCUUGAUCUUAGUUGCCAUCAUUAAGUUGGGCACUCUAAGGUGACUGCCGGUGACAAACCGGAGGAAGGUGGGGAUGACGUCAAAUCAUCAUGCCCCUUAUGACCUGGGCUACACACGUGCUACAAUGGACGGUACAAAGAGCUGCAAGACCGCGAGGUGGAGCUAAUCUCAUAAAACCGUUCUCAGUUCGGAUUGUAGGCUGCAACUCGCCUACAUGAAGCUGGAAUCGCUAGUAAUCGCGGAUCAGCAUGCCGCGGUGAAUACGUUCCCGGGCCUUGUACACACCGCCCGUCACACCACGAGAGUUUGUAACACCCGAAGUCGGUGGGGUAACCUUUUUGGAGCCAGCCGCCUAAGGUGGGACAGAUGAUUGGGGUG
rnacentral:rRNA from 1 species